rnacentral:rRNA from 1 species
GACGAACGCUGGCGGCGGGCUUAACACAUGCAAGUCGAACGGAAAGGCCCUGCUUUUGUGUGGUGCUCGCGUGGCGAACGGGUGAGUAACACGUGAGUAACCUUCCCUUGAGUUUGGGAUAACUUGAGGAAACUGGGGCUAAUACAGGAUAGGAGCUCCUGCUGCUUGGUGGGGGUUGGAACGUUUGGGCGGAAGGGGAUGGACGCCGGGCUUAUCAGCUUGUUGGUGGGGUAGUGGCUUACCAGGGCUUUGACGGGUAGCCGGCCUGAGAGGGUGACCGGCCACAUUGGGACUGAGAUACGGCCCAGACUCCUACGGGAGGCAGCAGUGGGGAAUAUUGCACAAUGGGCGGAAGCCUGAUGCAGCAACGCCGCGUGCGGGAUGACGGCCUUCGGGUUGUAAACCGCUUUCGCCUGUGACGAAGCGUGAGUGACGGUAAUGGGUAAAGAAGCACCGGCUAACUACGUG